rnacentral:rRNA from 1 species
GAUGAACGCUGGCGGCAGGCCUAACACAUGCAAGUCGAACGAGUGGCGGACGGGUGAGUAAUGUCUGGGAAACUGCCCGAUGGAGGGGGAUAACUACUGGAAACGGUAGCUAAUACCGCAUACCAUCGGAUGUGCCCAGAUGGGAUUAGCUAGUAGGUGGGGUAACGGCUCAACUAGGCGACGCUCACUAGCUGGGCUGAGAGAAUGACCAGCAAAACUGGAAUGGAGACACGGUCCAUACUCCUAAGGGAGGCUGGAGUGGGGAAUAUUGCACAAUGGGCGCAAGCCUGAUGCAGCCAUGCAGCGUGUAUGAAGAAGGCCUUCGGGUUGUAAAGUACUUUCAGCGGGGAGGCGUUACCCGCAGAAGAAGCACCGGCUAACUCCGUGCCAGCAGCCGCGGUAAUUC